GCUUACCAUGCAGUCGAACGAUGAUGCCCAGCUUGCUGGGUGGAUUAGUGGCGAACGGGUGAGUAACACGUGAGUAACCUGCCCCUGACUCUGGGAUAAGCGUUGGAAACGACGUCUAAUACUGGAUAUGAUCACUGGCCGCAUGGUCUGGUGGUGGAAAGAUUUUUUGGUUGGGGAUGGACUCGCGGCCUAUCAGCUUGUUGGUGAGGUAAUGGCUCACCAAGGCGACGACGGGUAGCCGGCCUGAGAGGGUGACCGGCCACACUGGGACUGAGACACGGCCCAGACUCCUACGGGAGGCAGCAGUGGGGAAUAUUGCACAAUGGGCGAAAGCCUGAUGCAGCAACGCCGCGUGAGGGAUGACGGCCUUUCGGGUUGUAAACCUCCUUUUAGUAGGGAAGAAGCGAAAGGUGACGGUACCUGCAGAAAAAGCACCGGCCUAACUACGUGCCAGCAGCCGCGGUAAUACGUAGGGUGCAAGCGUUGUCCGGAAUUAUUGGGCGUAAAGAGCUCGUAGGCGGUUUGUCGCGUCUGCUGUGAAAUCCCGAGGCUCAACCUCGGGCUUGCAGUGGGUACGGGCAGACUAGAGUGCGGUAGGGGAGAUUGGAAUUCCUGGUGUAGCGGUGGAAUGCGCAGAUAUCAGGAGGAACACCGAUGGCGAAGGCAGAUCUCUGGGCCGUAACUGACGCUGAGGAGCGAAAGCAUGGGGAGCGAACAGGAUUAGAUACCCUGGUAGUCCAUGCCGUAAACGUUGGGCGCUAGAUGUAGGGACCUUUCCACGGUUUCUGUGUCGUAGCUAACGCAUUAAGCGCCCCGCCUGGGGAGUACGGCCGCAAGGCUAAAACUCAAAGGAAUUGACGGGGGCCCGCACAAGCGGCGGAGCAUGCGGAUUAAUUCGAUGCAACGCGAAGAACCUUACCAAGGCUUGACAUACACCGGAAACGGCCAGAGAUGGUCGCCCCCCUUGUGGUCGGUGUACAGGUGGUGCAUGGUUGUCGUCAGCUCGUGUCGUGAGAUGUUGGGUUAAGUCCCGCAACGAGCGCAACCCUCGUUCUAUGUUGCCAGCGGGUUAUGCCGGGGACUCAUAGGAGACUGCCGGGGUCAACUCGGAGGAAGGUGGGGAUGACGUCAAAUCAUCAUGCCCCUUAUGUCUUGGGCUUCACGCAUGCUACAAUGGCCGGUACAAAGGGCUGCGAUACCGUAAGGUGGAGCGAAUCCCAAAAAGCCGGUCUCAGUUCGGAUUGAGGUCUGCAACUCGACCUCAUGAAGUCGGAGUCGCUAGUAAUCGCAGAUCAGCAACGCUGCGGUGAAUACGUUCCCGGGCCUUGUACACACCGCCCGUCAAGUCAUGAAAGUCGGUAACACCCGAAGCCGGUGGCCUAACCCUUGUGGAAGGAGCCGUCGAAGGGGAUUC
rnacentral:rRNA from 1 species